GUCCAGUAGUGGAGUGUGUGUGUGCAGUAGCGUACCAGUUUGGCCAGUAUGAGAGUGUCAUUCAUCAGGUCCAGUAGUGGAGUGUGUGUGUGCAGUAGCGUACCAGUUUGGCCAGUAUGAGAGUGUCAUUCAUCAGGUCCAGUAGUGGAGUGUGUGUGUGUGUGUGUGUGUGUGCAGUAGCGUACCAGUUUGGCCAGUAUGAGAGUGUCAUUCAUCAGGUCCAGU